UACGGGGGGGGCAAGCGUUGUUCGGAAUUACUGGGCGUAAAGGGCUUGUAGGUGGCCAACUAAGUCAGACGUGAAAUCCCUCGGCUUAACCGGGGAACUGCGUCUGAUACUGGAUGGCUUGAGUGUGGGAGAGGGAUGCGGAAUUCCAGGUGUAGCGGUGAAAUGCGUAGAUAUCUGGAGGAACACCGGUGGCGAAGGCGGCAUCCUGGACCAUUACUGACGCUGAGGUGCGAAAGCGUGGGGAGCAAACAGG
rnacentral:rRNA from 1 species